rnacentral:rRNA from 1 species
AGUGGAUGGGGAGCAACCUAGUUGUGCGUGUGUAAAGGUAGUGCCAAGAAAAGCGAUGAUCAUGUUGAAAAUCAAUUCCCGGUACCCGAAACCGACACAGGUGGGCAAGUAGAGAAUACUAAGGGGCGCGAGGUAACUCUCUCCAAGGAACUCGGCAAAAUGACCCCGUAACUUAGGGAGAAGGGGUGCCACCGAGAGGUGGUCGCAGUGAAGAGGCCCAGGCGACUGUUUAGCAAAAACAUAGGUCUCUGCAAACUCGAAAGAGGAGGUAUAGGGGCUGACGCCUGCCCAGUGCCGGAAGGUUAAAGAAGUUGGUCAGUCUUAGGAUGAAGCUAGCGACUGAAGCCCCGGUGAACGGCGGCCGUAACUAUAACGGUCCUAAGGUAGCGAAAUUCCUUGUCGGGUAAGUUCCGACCCGCACGAAAGGCGUAACGAUCUGGGCGCUGUUUCGGAGAGAGGCUCGGCGAAAUAGGAUUGUCUGUGAAGAUACGGACUACCUGCAUUUGGACAGAAAGACCCUAUGAAGCUUUACUAUAGCUUGGAAUUGUGUUCGGGCUUCCUGUGCGCAGGAUAGGUGGGAGGCGUAGAAGGUAUUCUUGUGGGGAUACUGGAGCCAACGGUGAGAUACCACUCUCAGGAGGCUAGAAUUCUAACUUAAUUAAGGACAGUUUCAGGUGGGUAGUUUGACUAGGGCGGUCGCCUCCAAAAAGGUAACGGAGGCGUACAAAGGUUCCCUCAGACUGGUUGGAAAUCAGUCGAAGAGUGCAAAGGCAGAAGGGAGCUUGACUGCGAGAAGUACAGUUCGAGCAGGGUGGAAACACGGUCUUAGUGAUCCGACGGUGCUGUGUGGAAGGGCCGUCGCUCAACGGAUAAAAGUUACUCUAGGAUAACAGGCUGAUCUCCCCCAAGAGUUCACAUCGACGGGGAGGUUUGGCACCUCGAUGUCGGCUCAUCGCAACCUGGGGCGGAAGUACGUCCCAAGGGUUGGGCUGUUCGCCCAUUAAAGCGGUACGUGAGCUGGGUUCAGAACGUCGUGAGACAGUUCGGUCCAUAUCCGAUGUAGGCGUGUGAAUAUUGAGAGGAGCCUUCCUUAGUACGAGAGGACCGGGAAGGACGCACCGCUGGUGUACCUGUUAUGAUGCCAAUUGUAAACGCAGGGUAGCCAAGUGCGGAGAGGAUAACCGCUGAAAGCAUCUAAGUGGGAAGCCCACCUCAAGAUGAGUAUUCUGGUGUAAGGUCACGGGAAGACGACCCGUAAAUAGGCACGAGGUGGAAGUGCAGAGAUGUAUGAAGCCGAAGUGUACUAAUAGACCGUCGGCUUGACC